rnacentral:miRNA from 1 species
AAAGAUGGACAAUUGGCUAAAU